rfam:Myotis davidii contig154589, whole genome shotgun sequence.
GAGUUCCUAUUUCAGCAGCACAUAUACAGAAAUUGGAAUGAUACAGAGAAGAUUAGCAUGGCACCUGCACAAGGAUGACGUGCAAAUUUGUGAAGCGUUCCAGAUUAAA